UUCACUUCUUGGUCUUUUGGCUAAGAUCAAGUUAGUAACUGUUCUUAUCAGUUCAAUAUCUGCUCUGUCCUCUAUCCAAGGACAAUACAAUUUUUUUUAAAAAAGCAAUUGAGUGUGACCCCCCCCCCAAAAAAGCAAUUGACCUUAUUUUUUGAAAGAAAAUAUUCUAGUAGGUAGUCAAAUC